UACGUAGGGGGCUAGCGUUGCUCGGAAUUACUGGGCGUAAAGCGCACGUAGGCGGUCUUUUAAGCCGGGGGUGAAAUCCUGGAGCUCAACUCCAGAACUGCCUUCGAUACUGGAAGACUCGAGUCCGGGAGAGGUGAGUGGAACUGCGAGUGUAGAGGUGAAAUUCGUAGAUAUUCGCAAGAACACCAGUGGCGAAGGCGGCUCACUGGCCCGGUACUGACGCUGAGGUGCGAAAGCGUGGGGAGCAAACAGG
rnacentral:rRNA from 1 species